rnacentral:rRNA from 1 species
AGAGUUUGAUCCUGGCUCAGGACGAACGCUGGCGGCGUGCUUAACACAUGCAAGUCGAACGGUAAGGCCCUUCGGGGUACACGAGUGGCGAACGGGUGAGUAACACGUGGGUAAUCUGCCCUGCACAUCGGGAUAAGCCUGGGAAACUGGGUCUAAUACCGAAUAGGACCACAGGACACAUGUCCUGUGGUGGAAAGCUUUUGCGGUGUGGGAUGGGCCCGCGGCCUAUCAGCUUGUUGGUGGGGUGAUGGCCUACCAAGGCGACGACGGGUAGCCGGCCUGAGAGGGUGUCCGGCCACACUGGGACUGAGAUACGGCCCAGACUCCUACGGGAGGCAGCAGUGGGGAAUAUUGCACAAUGGGCGUAAGCCUGAUGCAGCGACGCCGCGUGGGGGAUGACGGCCUUCGGGUUGUAAACCUCUUUCACCAUCGACGAAGGUCCGGGUUUUCUCGGGCUGACGGUAGGUGGAGAAGAAGCACCGGCCAACUACGUGCCAGCAGCCGCGGUAAUACGUAGGGUGCGAGCGUUGUCCGGAAUUACUGGGCGUAAAGAGCUCGUAGGUGGUUUGUCGCGUUGUUCGUGAAAUCUCACGGCUUAACUGUGAGCGUGCGGGCGAUACGGGCAGACUUGAGUACUGCAGGGGAGACUGGAAUUCCUGGUGUAGCGGUGGAAUGCGCAGGUAUCAGGAGGAACACCGGUGGCGAAGGCGGGUCUCUGGGCAGUAACUGACGCUGAGGAGCGAAAGCGUGGGGAGCGAACAGGAUUAGAUACCCUGGUAGUCC